GCUAGCGUAGCUUAACUAAAGCAUGACACUGAAGAUGUUAAGAUGGACCCUAGAAAGUCUCGCGGGCA
rnacentral:tRNA from 1 species